rnacentral:rRNA from 1 species
GACGAACGCUGGCGGCGUGCUUAACACAUGCAAGUCGAACGGAAAGGCCCUGCUUUUGUGGGGUGCUCGAGUGGCGAACGGGUGAGUAACACGUGAGUAACCUGCCCUUGACUUUGGGAUAACUUCAGGAAACUGGGGCUAAUACCGGAUAGGAGCUCCUGCUGCAUGGUGGGGGUUGGAAAGUUUCGGCGGUUGGGGAUGGACUCGCGGCUUAGCAGCUUGUUGGUGGGGUAGUGGCUUACCAAGGCUUUGACGGGUAGCCGGCCUGAGAGGGUGACGGGCCACAUUGGGACUUAGGUACGGCCCAGACUCCUACGGGAGGCAGCAGUGGGGAAUAUUGCACAAUGGGCGGAAGCCUGAUGCAGCAACGCCGCGUGCGGGAUGACGGCCUUCGGGUUGUAAACCGCUUUCGCCUGUGACGAAGCGUGAGUGACGGUAAUGGGUAAAGAAGCACCGGCUAACUACGUG